UACGUAGGGUGCAAGCGUUGUCCGGAAUUAUUGGGCGUAAAGAGCUCGUAGGCGGUCUGUCGCGUCGGCUGUGAAAACCCGGGGCUCAACCCCGGGCCUGCAGUCGAUACGGGCAGACUAGAGUGCGGUAGGGGAGGACUGGAAUUCCUGGUGUAGCGGUGAAAUGCGCAGAGUAUCAGGAGGAACACCGGUGGCGAAGGCGGGGUCUCUGGGCCGUAACUGACGCUGAGGAGCGAAAGCGUGGGGAGCGAACAGG
rnacentral:rRNA from 1 species